rnacentral:rRNA from 1 species
CUUGGUCAUUUAGAGGAAGUAAAAGUCGUAACAAGGUUUCCGUAGGUGAACCUGCGGAAGGAUCAUUAAAAAAAGAGAAACGUCCCGUUUUUUUCAUAAGAAUGGGUUCUAUUCCCUUAAACCGUGUCUACAUACCUUUGUUGCUUUGGCAAGCCGCCUUCGGGCGUCGGCUCCGGCUGAUAGUGCCUGCCAGAGGACCCAAACUCUAUGUUUAGUGAUGUCUGAGUACUAUAUAAUAUUUAAAACUUUCAACAACGGAUCUCUUGGUUCUGGCAUCGAUGAAGAACGCAGCGAAAUGCGAUAAGUAAUGUGAAUUGCAGAAUUCAGUGAAUCAUCGAAUCUUUGAACGCACAUUGCGCCCCUUGGUAUUCCGAGGGGCAUGCCUGUUCGAGCGUCAUUAUAACCACUCAAGCCUGGCUUGGUAUUGGGGUUUUCGCGUGUUCGCGGCCCUUAAAAUCAGUGGCGGUGCCGUCUGGCCCUAAGCGUAGUAAUUUCUCUCGCUAUAGGGUUCCGGUGGUUACUUGCCAAAACCCCCCAUUUUUUCUAGGUUGACCUCGGAUCAGGUAGGGAUACCCGCUGAACUUAAGCAUAUCAAUAAGCGGAGGA